AUGGAGGAGACCGGAGAGAAGAAAAAGAAGGUUCCUGCUGUGCCAGAAACCCUUAAGAAAAAGCGAAGGAAUUUCGCAGAGCUGAAGAUCAAACGCCUGAGAAAGAAGUUUGCCCAAAAGAUGCUUCGAAAGGCAAGGAGGAAGCUUACCUAUGAAAAAGCUAAGCAUUAUCAUAGGAAUACAGGCAGAUGUACAGAACCAAGAUUCGAAUGGCUAGGAUGGCAAGAAAAGCUGGCAACUUGCACCUGCAGCACCCAAGUUGGCAUUUGUCAUCAGGAUCAGAGGUGUCAUUGGUGUGAACCCAAAGGUUUGAAAGGUGUUGCAGCUUCUUCGCCUUCACCAGAUCUUCAGUGGAACCUUGUUAAGCUCAACAAGCCUUCGGUUAACAUGCUGAGGAUUGUAGAAGCAUAUAUUGCAUGGGGGACCCAAACCUGAAGUCAAUAAAUGAACUGAUCGACAAGCGUGGUUAUGGCAAGAUCAGUAGGAAGCAAGCUGCGUUGACAGAUAACGCUUUGGUUGCUCGGUCUCUGGGUAAAUGCGGCACCAUCUGCAGGGAGGAUCUGAUUCGUGAGAUCUAUGCUGUUGGGAAACGCCUUAAAGCAGCAAAUAACUUCCUGUGGCCCUUUGAGUUAUCAUCUCCACCAGGUGGAAUGAAGAAAAAGAGAACCCAUUAUUGGAAGGUGGAGAUGCUGGCCCAGGAAAGACCACAUUAACAGGCAUAGUAGAAGAAUGAACUAA